CUACGUGCCAGCAGCCGCGGUAAUACGUAGGUGGCAAGCGUUGUCCGGAAUUAUUGGGCGUAAAGCGCGCGCAGGCGGAUUGGUCAGUCUGUCUUAAAAGUUCGGGGCUUAACCCCGUGAUGGGAUGGAAACUGCCAAUCUAGAGUAUCGAAGAGGAAAGUGGAAUUCCUAGUGUAGCGGUGAAAUGCGUAGAUAUUAGGAAGAACACCAGUGGCGAAGGCGACUUUCUGGACGAAAACUGACGCUGAGGCGCGAAAGCCAGGGGAGCGAACGGGAUUAGAUACCCCGGUAGUCCUGGCCGUAAACGAUGGGUACUAGGUGUAGGAGGUAUCGACCCCUUCUGUGCCGGAGUUAACGCAAUAAGUACCCCGCCUGGGGAGUACGACCGCAAGGUUGAAACUCAAAGGAAUUGACGGGGGCCCGCACAAGCGGUGGAGUAUGUGGUUUAAUUCGACGCAACGCGAAGAACCUUACCAGGUCUUGACAU
rnacentral:rRNA from 1 species